GUGUUGUGAAUCCUCCAAAGCAACCUGUUUCUGUCUUUGCUGAUACGCAUAGCAGUGAAAUAAAAGAUCGCAUUUUUGAUGAAUUUAAUAGCCUCUCUGUGGUGUACCAAAAGCCAUCUUACAUGUUCACUGAUAAAGAACACCGGGGACCAUUUGAGUUUUCAGAUAAGCUUGGCAACUUAUCUACUGGGGCAGAAUCUACAAAUGAUGUUGUACGAGCAAAUAGA
rnacentral:misc_RNA from 1 species